UGGGGAAUUUUGGACAAUGGGCGAAAGCCUGAUCCAGCAAUGCCGCGUGUGUGAAGAAGGCCUUCGGGUUGUAAAGCACUUUUGUCCGGAAAGAAAUCCUUGGCUCUAAUACAGUCGGGGGAUGACGGUACCGGAAGAAUAAGCACCGGCUAACUACGUGCCAGCAGCCGCGGUAAUACGUAGGGUGCAAGCGUUAAUCGGAAUUACUGGGCGUAAAGCGUGCGCAGGCGGUUUGCUAAGACCGAUGUGAAAUCCCCGGGCUCAACCUGGGAACUGCAUUGGUGACUGGCAGGCUAGAGUAUGGCAGAGGGGGGUAGAAUUCCACGUGUAGCAGUGAAAAUGCGUAGAGAUGUGGAGGAAUACCGAUGGCGAAGGCAGCCCCCUGGGCCAAAUACUGACGCUCAUGCACGAAAGCGUGGGGAGCAAAACAGGAUUAGAUACCCUGGUAGUCCACGCCCUAAAACUAUGUCAACUAGUUGUUGGGGAUUCAUUUCCUUAGUAACGUAGCUAACGCGUGAAGUUGACCGCCUGGGGAGUACGGUCGCAAGAUUAAAAACUCAAAUGAAUUGACGGGGUCAUAGCUGUUUCCU
rnacentral:rRNA from 1 species